UGGUGGGUAGUUUGACUGGGGCGGUCUCCUCCUAAAGAGUAACGGAGGAGCACGAAGGUUGGCUAAUCCUGGUCGGACAUCAGGAGGUUAGUGCAAUGGCAUAAGCCAGCUUGACUGCGAGCGUGACGGCGCGAGCAGGUGCGAAAGCAGGUCAUAGUGAUCCGGUGGUUCUGAAUGGAAGGGCCAUCGCUCAACGGAUAAAAGGUACUCCGGGGAUAACAGGCUGAUACCGCCCAAGAGUUCAUAUCGACGGCGGUGUUUGGCACCUCGAUGUCGGCUCAUCACAUCCUGGGGCUGAAGUAGGUCCCAAGGGUAUGGCUGUUCGCCAUUUAAAGUGGUACGCGAGCUGGGUUUAGAACGUCGUGAGACAGUUCGGUCCCUAUCUGCCGUGGGCGCUGGAGAACUGAGGGGGGCUGCUCCUAGUACGAGAGGACCGGAGUGGACGCAUCACUGGUGUUCGGGUUGUCAUGCCAAUGGCACUGCCCGGUAGCUAAAUGCGGAAG
rnacentral:rRNA from 3 species